AUGAACGCUGGCGGCGUGCUUAACACAUGCAAGUCGAACGAAGCGAUUUAGCGGAAGUUUUCGGAUGGAAGCUAAAUUGACUGAGUGGCGGACGGGUGAGUAACGCGUGGGUAACCUGCCUCGCACUGGGGGACAACAGUUAGAAAUGACUGCUAAUACCGCAUAAGCGCACAGGACCGCAUGGUCUAGUGUGAAAAACUCCGGUGGUGUGAGAUGGACCCGCGUUUGAUUAGCUAGUUGGUGGGGUAACGGCCUACCAAGGCGACGAUCAAUAGCCGACCUGAGAGGGUGACCGGCCACAUUGGGACUGAGACACGGCCCAAACUCCUACGGGAGGCAGCAGUGGGGAAUAUUGCACAAUGGGGGAAACCCUGAUGCAGCGACGCCGCGUGAGUGAAGAAGUAUUUCGGUAUGUAAAGCUCUAUCAGCAGGGAAGAAAAUGACGGUACCUGACUAAGAAGCCCCGGCUAACUACGUGCCAGCAGCCGCGGUAAUACGUAGGGGGCAAGCGUUAUCCGGAUUUACUGGGUGUAAAGGGAGCGUAGACGGUAAAGCAAGUCUGAAGUGAAAGCCCGGGGCUCAACCCCGGGACUGCUUUGGAAACUGUUUAACUAGAGUGCUGGAGAGGUAAGCGGAAUUCCUAGUGUAGCGGUGAAAUGCGUAGAUAUUAGGAGGAACACCAGUGGCGAAGGCGGCUUACUGGACAGUAACUGACGUUGAGGCUCGAAAGCGUGGGGAGCAAACAGGAUUAGAUACCCUGGUAG
rnacentral:rRNA from 1 species